CUGCUGGAGUUAACUUCACAAUUAAUCAGUAUCAGCAUUCAAGUGUGUCCUUCACAAUGUUAAGAGAUCUGUUCUGUUUAAGCCAGACAGAUACAACUGCUGCAAUAGGGCCCUGAUCCUGCAAGACAUCUCGGCAUAGAGAACUCUCCAUCCCUGCUGGUACCAGGUCUCUCUCUGAAGAACGCAUUGAUAACACUGGCAAGCAAGAGCUUUUUAUUAUUCAUUAGCAAC